GUGCCAGCCGCCGCGGUAAUACGGAGGGGGAUAGCGUUGUUCGGAAUUACUGGGCGUAAAGCGCGCGUAGGCGGACAUUUAAGUCAGGGGUGAAAUCCCGGGGCUCAACCCCGGAACUGCCCUUGAUACUGGGUGUCUUGAGUUCGAGAGAGGUGAGUGGAAUUCCGUGUGUAGAGGUGAAAUUCGUAGAUAUUCGGAGGAACACCAGUGGCGAAGGCGGCUCACUGGCUCGAUACUGACGCUGAGGUGCGAAAGUGUGGGGAGCAAACAGGAUUAGAUACCCGAGUAGUCC
rnacentral:rRNA from 1 species